rnacentral:lncRNA from 1 species
UGGCAAUUGCAUGGGCCUUGGGCCCUAGCUUUUGUUUUGGAAAGGGACUGAUGAAUGGGCACUGGAUGUCCAUAUUCCUCUUGCCCCCCUGAAUGUUUAUGCCAGUACAGCUGUUCUGGUGUAGUGUGACAUAGCUAUUUAUCUGUGAAAGGGCAUUUUUGGGAGUAAGGAAAAUGCUGGCAUUUGCUUGUACCCAGUGCCUCAUGCUACUACUUGAGUUUAUUGGAAUUACUGAAAAAGUAACACAGCAUUGGGACUUAGAUACAGAACAAGAAUCAGAAGGAGAGAUGUACACUUUGACUCUAUUAGGAAAAUCACAGGCCUGGAGGUCAUAUAUUAUCUUUUACACAAUCUAUAAAAAGAUAAUUCACUGCAGCUCUUUCUACCUUUAGAGUGGUUAAAAAUAUUUCUCAUAUCAUCAUAUGACUGUCAUUCAUCUACUGGCUAAUGUAGUUAGAUGGGCCAUGUCAUUUGACGGACAUAGAAGAGGGACUUUCUUCAACUUGGAGGUACAAAGGAGAUGUAUAAGGAAUUUAAGGAAUAGUUAGAUAAAAUCAGGUGACUUAAUUGAGUCACUGGGUUACAUUAUGUGCCGUUGAAAUGGUCAUCUUUUUAAUGUGCUUUCUAGUAUUUCUUAUUACUAAAAACUUGGAAUUCAUUAAAAUACUGACCUUAAAAAUUAUCCUGGAUUGUUUGCCUUAUCUAAAAGGAUUUUUGGCCUAUCUCAUUCAAAAGAUAUUAGCUAUCUGACAUGAAGUUAUAGAUCUAAGACAUGUUGGCUCUAAAAUUCUGAUUGAUACAGGGUAGUAGUAUGUUCCC